CACACCGCCCGUCACGCCGUGGGAGUUGGUUUCACCCGAAGGUGGUGCGCUAACCUAGCAAUAGGAGGCAGCCAACCACGGUGGGAUCAGCGACUGGGGUG
rnacentral:rRNA from 1 species